rnacentral:lncRNA from 1 species
AUGAAGAAGCAAAAUGUGAUUGUGUUUGCAAGACACCGCUUUCUAAAAUGAUUGCAAGGCAAAGAAGAAUACAAUGACUACUAGUACUAUUUGGUGCCUCUGCCUUGAUUCAUACUACAGUGUCACCAGUUUUACCCAGCAUUGAUUUGCAUUAUCAGUACAAAAUGUCAAUGGUGACAAAAAUAUAUACUGUCUUAGUAUUAUUAUGAAAAUAGUUUCAGAGGAUCUCACAAUCUUCUGAAAGAGUCUUGGGACCCCCAACUCCUGCACUUUGAGAACCACUGCUCCAAAGCAUGGGUGGAAAAAUUCUACAUGAGAAAGAACAUCAGAUCAAAACUCUUACUAAUCUCUCUGCUAAAGAUGGUGGGUUUGGCUGCUGUCCUAGGAAAAGAUAAUAUAGAUGAAGUCACCAGGAAAUGGAAAGAAUUAGAUCAGGAAUUGGAUACCACCUAAAUGACCAGUCAAUAUGAGCUUUGAGGAAACCGAUAACAUCAAGCUAAAUGCUUCCUUAUAAACUCUUGAAGCAGAAAGUUGAAUAUAUACUCAACUAGCUAGAGAAGAUAAAACAGUCACUAGCAAAUUAUAUCAAAACUCUCAAACAAAAUAAAUGCAUUGUUGAUCAGAAAAUGAAAAUAUUAAAAUGAGAUUCAAAAGCUUUAGCAUGAACUUGAAGACUGAGCUUUCUUAUCAAGACAAUGAUAAGAAAACUCACAGAAAAUUAUUCUGUAGAGGGAGAGAAUGAUUUGCGAUUGAGAAGAAAAGUUCCACAGCAAAUAAAAAUGUGAGCCAUGCCCUGAAGAUCUGGAGGCCAAAAAAUAAAAACAAAAAUUAAAAGUAAGCCAAAGCUUUAGGAUAUGAAAUGAAAGGACUUACUUGCCCUUUGAAAAACCAAACCAUUGCUCUCGAUAACAGCUCUUGAAUUGCCGAUGAUAAUUUAGGCUGGACAAAAACCCUCUACAACUUAGGAGAAAAGAAUGCACACGGAAGACCAAAAGCAGCUGAAGACGUUAAACUUGAGAUUUUUAGAAAAGGGUCCUGAAGGCCUUGCUGAUCCACAUGCAGUGUUUGGCGGAGGCCCACAGGAACCACGCAAUUUGCUGGAAAAUCAGAUCCUCAAGACAGGAGGUAUGUCCAGCUGGGAUGGUUUGGGGAUUCGAGCUUCAAUACUGCCUUGCAUUGCCAGAUGCUAUCUCAUGGGAUCUAGACCCUAGCAUGAUAUAGUUCCCACCAGGCCAACGAUAUCCUGCUCUUUGUCCACAUGUACAAGACAAAGUUUAUCUUUCUGCUUCAGACACUGGUGAUCUUUCUACAUGAACAAGAUUCACAAGUUUGAAUGGGACUGCUUUUGAAGAGCAAUUGGUCCACACUUAAAAAAAAAUGGAGUCUGGUGGGAUGCAUUGUGAAGAUGCUUUUGGUUGUUUAGGUCCUCCUGAUCCAUCUCUACUACCUCAACCACAUCAUCCAGUUGAGUUUCCAUGUUAGGAAUGGAUCCAUUGGGAUACAAGGGGAGGGACCUCUUGUAUCUCCCUUUCCUCCAAGAAAUCCCUAUGAAGUCCUGAGAUUACUUUCCAUAGGGGAUUUUCCUGGUCCUUUCAGCCUGCAUUGGCACUGAGGGACAUCUGUCCAUCACGGGAGUUUCCCUGUGACUCUUGCACAAGAGCUGGAUUUUACUCCCAUUACCAAGAAAUGAAUUCCCUAGGGCUGAGCCAGCCUUCAAGAGAGCCUCCUUCUGAAGGUCUGAACCAGAACAAUAAUGUCUCUGUCAUUCUUCUAAAUGCAUUUUGAAUUCUUUUUUAGUUUAACAGCUGUUGUUUAAGUGAUUGUACAUUUGUUCACAUUGAAGCUUGAUAGAAUUAUAAUUCUUGGGGUAAUAUUUUAUAAGUGAAGUUGAUUUACAAACUAGAUUCUUUUAAAUGAAUCAUUUCCAUAUUAUUGUACUCUCUAGGUAGUAGAUUUGUAUUUUGAUUUGAUUAACCAGUUCUCCAUAACAUAAGCUAUAAGAGACAUUUUGCAUAAGUAACUAUACACAUUUAAAACUUUACAAGUCAUUUGUCUCUGUUAUGAACUGUUUUCUACUGUAAUAUUGAGGAAAUUGAGAAAGGUGUUCAAAGUUUAGUGAAAUAAAUUUUUAUUGGUUAAAAAUAGUAAAUGAGUAAAGCGGUGUCACAGAAUGCCUUUCUGCAUCAGAGCUGCAGUGGGGACAAAAGAGUAAGUACCCAUGCAUCUGAAGAGAGGGGCCAGGUUAUUCAUGUGGUCCUUGCUAAAUGGAGCUUUCAACCAGCCAGUUCCACCUCCCAUCCCAAAGCCCAUCACUCUGUUCUGUAUGCCUGUAUUCUAUGUAUAUGGGGUGAGGGAUAGAUAGAUGGGGAGAGGGAUAGGAGGGAUGGGGUAUAUAAAUCUCUUUGGGGAGAGAUGAAGGAGUGCGGUGUUCCCCUCUCCUCACUUAAGCCAGGUGAAAAAGUUCUCAAUAGAACUUCUGGGAGGUGUGCCCUGUGUUGGAGGACACAGAGGCUAGUUUCUGGUACACAUCUAGAAAUAUUAAAUGUGAGGGGCUGGUUAUACCUUCCCCAGGUCAGAGAGUUGGGAGUGCAGCAGCAGCAGGAAUAAGAAGUACUUUUAGCUGUAAUGGGACAAGUGUGGUCCUUGGAAGAUAGUUGGGGCUAUGUUGAAUUUAAAGCACUCUGCCCCAAAGUUCUGCCUGUGCCAGUGAGGUAAAUCACAAGCCAAGAGCCUAUCUUUCACUGGAACAAUGUAGAGGGAGGCCCCUAAGUGGGGAGUUCCCCAAAAAAUGGACUAAAGAGAAAGGGCUAGCAUUUAGGUAUCUGACCCUUACAGGGAGCUCUGACCCCAGAUUAAUAUCAGUGAAAUGACUUUUUAAUCUAUCUCUCUUCUCUUCUGCUGGCCCCCAUUCUCAGCAGAGAAGUGAGAAAGGAAGUAAAACAAAAAUAGGAAAAGCUGUCUUUCUGCUCCCUUCUUCUACUGCCUCCCAAUCAGGUUUCUAAGCUCAGAUCAAACCAAGCAUUUUAAAUGAAAUUAGGUUGAAAUUUUGACUUAGAUUUCAUUAAACAUUUGAAUACCCCAGAAUGAGAGUGUUAUUUAUGUUUAAUACUUUAAAUUGACUGAAAAAGCUACAAGAUCUGCUUCAAAUAUCAUCCAGCUGAGAGACAGAAAUGUUAAGAAAAAAAAAGAUAUCUCAAUAUUUUACCCCCACUUGGUUUGGAUUGGUAAAUAUAUUCAUUAUGGUAGCAAUAAAUACCUUUGUAUACAGACCUUUAUUAUUCAUUGGGGUAAUUUUCUUAUGAUAAAUGCCCAGAUGUGAAAAAAAUUGAUCAAAAUUUAUGAACAUCGUGAUGGCUUCAGAUAAGAAGUGCUAAACUGACAACCCACGUUUACCAAUAUAAACUGCCACUGGCAACACAAAGAAAUUAAUUUCAUACCAAAUCUCACUGUACCAUUGUCACCCUUAUAAUAAGAUAUCCCAAGUCAAGGUCACAACAAUACAGUAUAGAAAGUAGAACAGGGGUCAGAACUGCUAGUCUUCUCUUUGUACCGCUGGCUAUAUGAUUAUAUAUUUAGAAAAAACCUACAAAAAUUCAUAUGGAUUUUGUCUUGCAAAAACCAAAAUGCGAUUAUACAGUACAUAUUUGUAUUCACUUUGUUGUGAGUGUCUUCCCAUGUCGGUACACAAAGAACUGCUUUCUUUUGCUAAUAGAUGUCCCUUUUCUUAAAAAAUAAAAACAUUAAGUUAAAAAUUUAGGCUGGACGUGGGGGCUCAUGCCUGUAAUCCCAACACAUGGGGAGGCCCAGGUGGGCAAAUUGCUCAGAAGUUCAUGACCAGCCUCGGCAGCAUGGCAAAACCUGUCUCUACCAAAAUAUAUAAAAUAUUAGCCAGUGUGGUGGCAUGUGCUUGUAGUCCCAGCUACUUGGGAGGCUGAGGUGGGAGGAUCACUUGAGCCUGGGAGGUGGAGGCUGCAGGGAGCUGAGAUCAUGCCACUGAACUCCAGCCUAGGUGACAGAGCGAGACCCUGACACACACACACACACACACACACACACACUCUCUCUCAGGGAAAAAGUCACAUUAAAUGUGUCAUAUUAAUUAAUUGCUUGGCGUUACAAGCACUGUAGUCUUUCUUCCUUCCCCUCUUUCCCUUCUCUCUUUAUGGUUGUAUCCUGUAUUGUACACUACUUUCAGAAUAUGCGUUGUGUUGUUUAGCACCCACUCAUUUAAUAUAUAGGUGCUGCACAUACAGGCAUGAAGGAAACAAACAUGGCACCUGCUCUUUGGAGUUUCCACCCUCAUGGAUCUCUCUUUGACUUUCUGCUUUGCCUUCUAAGCUUAAUACUUAAAUUCCAAAUGCUUAUCAUAUCCUGUGUCAUUUGCUAAAAGUUGGCAAUAAUUAAGAGUGAUCUUUCUAGUAGCAACACAAAGUGGGAAAUUUGACCAGAUACAUAAGUUACAGUUGCUAAGGAAAUGAACAGUUAUUCACAGUUCUGGGGAUGGAGAGAAUUUUCCCUGUGGGUUUUCAUUAAGAAGAUACCUUGGCCAGGCACAAUGGCUCAUGCCUGUAAUCCCAGCACUUUGGGAGGCCGAGGCAGGCGGAUCACCUGAAGUCAGGAGUUUGAGACCAACCUGGCCAACAUGGUGAAACCCUAUCUCUAAUAAAAAUAAAAAAUAAAAAAUUAGCCAGGCAUAGUUGCAUGUGCCUGUAAUCCCAGCUACUCGGGAGGCUGAGAUAUGAGAAUUGCUUGAACCCAGGGGGCGAAGGUUGCAGUGAGCCUAGGUUGUGCCACUGCACUCUGGCCUGGGCAACAGAGUGAGACCCCAUCUCAAAAAAUAAGAAAAAAAAAAAAAGAUAACUUAUGAUGUAGAGCAGUAUGUUCUCAACAUUAUCUCAACAGUCAGCACAAACUGAAUUUCACAACACUGUUUUCUGGGAUGUGCUUCAAUACAGCCCAGUGACGUAAUGCCAAAUAUAAUUCAGAAAAAUGAAUUCUCCCAGGAUUACAAAGCUUAAUGACUAGGUAUACAACUUUCUGACUUAACCCAAUGAUAUAAUUUAGAGGGUCUGGAGUCCAGACCCCAGACACUAGAGAAUAUGUGGAAUACAUAUGUUUUAUGAAAUAAUUCAUCGAUAAUACCUCAUGCAACGUAAGUUUCUAUGAAUAUAAGUUAGCAAGGAGUUUGAGAAUAUACUUCACCAGUCCAGAUAUUUCAUGCCACUAGUUAUAGCAUAUUUGGACGCUUUAAUGGGUUCUAUAACAUAUCAAACCUGAUGCUAGAAACUUGAUGUAGACAGCUGACUCCAAAAUAUCCCUACCCUACAAUGCUCACCAUCUCAAAAGAAACCAAGACUUGUACACAAAUAGCUGUAAGAAAAAGUAUUAAAUGUCAAAGUUCAUAAAAGGAGUUUAGAUAAAGUGCAAUUCAUUCAUUCAACAAACAUUUGUUGAGUACCUAGGAUUUGCCAAGUACUGUGCUAAAUUUUGAUGAUACAUCAUGCCUAAUAAAAAGUGUGUUACCAACAAAAUUUUAAAAAAAUAAAAAGGCGCCAUUUCACAUGCCUGUAAUCCCAGCUAACUGGGAGGCUGAGGCAGGAGAAUCGCUUGAACCUGGGAGGCAGAGGUUGCCAUAAGCCGAGAUGGAGCCAUUGCACUCCAGCCUGGGAAACAAGAGUGAGACUCUGUCAAAAAAAAAAAAAAAAAAAAAAAAAAAAAAAAAAAAAGAAAGAAAUGAAAAAGAUUACAUUUAUAAGGGCAACAAAAAGUAUUAAAUAUCUUUACAAGCAUUUCAGAGAUAAAUUUAAAAAGACCUAAAUAAGUGGAAGGAUAUACUACAUUCAUGGAUUGGAAGACUCAAUAUUGUUAAGGUGUCAAUUCUUACCAAAUUAAUCUGUAGGUUUAAUGCAAUUACAAUCAAAAUUACCUUAGAAAUGUUUUUGUGGCAAUUGAUAAGCUGAUUAUAAAAUGUGUAUGGAAAUGCAAGAGACCUAGAAGAGCUGCAGUAGGGAGAAAUGAUCCCUCCAAAAUGGUCACAUCUUAAUUUAUGGAACCUGUGAAUAGUUAUGAUCCAUAGCAAAAGGACUUUGCAGGUGUAAUUAAGGUUAUGGAGUUUAAAAUAUGAAGAUUAUCCUGAAUUACCUGAAUAGUCCCAAUCUAAUCAUGUGAGCCCUAAAAAGCAGAGCACUUUCUUAGACUGAAUACAGAAGAGAUGCAGCAAGGAAGCCAGAGAAGUUUGAAGUAUGUGAAGGACUCAUCUUCAAACCAUUGCUGGUGGUUUGAAGAUAGAGAGGGCAGCAUGACAAGGACUGCAGGUGGGCUUAUAGCUGUUAGAGGCUCCCAGAUAACAGCCAGUAAGUAAGUGGAGAACUCAGUCUUACAGCUGCAAAGAACUGAAUUCAUUCAAAAACCUGAAUGAACUUGAAAGGAGAUUAUCCCUAAGGGACUACAAAUAAAUACCCAGACUGUCUGAUAUUAUAGUUUUGGCCUCGUGAGACCCAAAGCAGAGGAACUAGUUGAGCCCAUCUAGACCUCUGAUUAACAGAACUGUGAGACAAUAAAUUUGUGUUGUUUUAAGCUGUUAAGUUUGUGGUACAUGGUUACAGGAUCAGUAGAAAACUAAUACCAUAUCGAAGGCAAUCUUAAGAACAAAACUGCAGGACUUAACGUUCUUUGUUUCUAAGAAUUGUUCUCUCCACCACAUAGCUCUAAAUGAAAGAAUGGCUUUUGAGGCCAUGUUCGUCUUAUAUGACUCUUCCUCUCUGGCUACAACUGGUUGGAUGGACUGGGAUGAACUUGAUUGUCUGGGGAAUUUGAACUAAGCCCCGCAGAGACAGGGUCUGUUACUCCAAUGUAUCUCACCCCCUAAAUAAGUGGAGUAAGUAUUCAUGUGCUUGUGUAGUCUUCUUCCUUUGAAUCUGGGUUUUAACUAAAAGAAUGAAGCAGAAGUGUCACUGUGUCAGUUUUACUAAUGUGACCAUGUGUUUAUGUUUACAGUUAGGAAGGACAUUAAAAUGUAAAAUGGGGC